rnacentral:rRNA from 1 species
UACGUAGGGCGCAAGCGUUGUCCGGAAUUAUUGGGCGUAAAGAGCUCGUAGGUGGCUUGUCACGUCGGGUGUGAAAGCCCGGGCUUAACCCCGGGUCUGCAUUCGAUACGGGCUAGCUAGAGUGUGGUAGGGGAGAUCGGAAUUCCUGGUGUAGCGGUGAAAUGCGCAGAUAUCAGGAGGAACACCGGUGGCGAAGGCGGAUCUCUGGGCCAUUACUGACGCUGAGGAGCGAAGCGUGGGAGCGAACAGG